rnacentral:tRNA from 1 species
GCCCUAAUAGUAUAAACCAUUACUUUGGUCUUGUAAACCAAAAAUGAAGCUUAUAGCUUCUUAGAGCA